UGAAGAAACUUACAUGCAUCAUUCCCAAAGCUGAAUCAGGCUCUAUGUAAAUGAGCAAUUGAUGUCACUAAUGAACGAGUUCUGAUCCAGCUAGACCACUAUACACUCUGUUUUACAAAACCAAUGAUGUCUCUUUAGAUGUAGGUUAACUCCAGUCAAUUUGUUGUAUUUAUGGGCCGUGUGGGGACAAUAGCAUAUAAACUGGGCGUUCCAGCACGGGUUCAUAUUCACAAUCUUUUUCAUGCGAGUCUUUUGAAGCGCUUCCAUGUUGAUCCACCAGAUGCGCCACCAGCAUUAGCGUUGAUUUAUCACGUUCAGAUAAUCCUGAGGCAAAUGAAGUCUUGGGGCACAGUAGCAAGUGGUGUUCAGAAUUUUUGGUACAAUAGAAAGAAAAGAUCCAGGAUUUUCAGCUCAAAGACGAGCUGCUUGAGGAGGCGGGGAGUAAUGUCGUAUGCGCAAAAAUAGUUCCAGAUAUACACAUUUGCAAGCAAACUCCAAAAGUGGAAUAGGUUCCAAUUGAGUUACCUGCUAUCUUCUUCCAGUGGUUCUGAACAUUUUUCAUACACUUUUGCUCAUCCAAAUGGCCUACAUGAAAUUCGCUAGACAAUUUUCUUCUGCAGAAGUGUGAAUCAUCAUGUCAUGUAUUAGAAAAUAGCAUGAUGUCCAAAACAGCCAGGAGGACCUAGAUACAUGGAGAAGUGAAUGAGAAGUUGCAGUGCGAACUUGAAUGGCAUUCACAAAACAGACAAACAUGGCCCACUCAACAUCUGUUUUAAAUUCAGCAAGAAUUUAUUACAGCACUAUGCAAUUAGCUAAUACCCCGUCCGUCCCAUAAUAUAAGAUCUUAUUACAUCCAAUAUACUCACAUAUUGGAUGUAAUAAGAUCUUAUAUUAUGGGACGGAGGGGGUACUAAUUAUGCAUAAAUGUAUAAUCAACAUUGUUUUUCAAUAACCCAAAGAAUUAUGGACUAUAAGUUUAAAUGGAACUAAAUGGAUUAGGAGCAUAAUACGGCAUCCAAGGGAGGGAGAUACCUUUGCCAAUAUUAGCAACAUCACCUCGGAUAAUAAGAGGACUUUUGCCGCC
rnacentral:lncRNA from 1 species